UGGGAUAAAUUCAAACCUGCAAAACAACAGGACUCAAGCAUUUCGCCAAACACUUCAUGUUUUCCCUUUGAAAAUAAUAAAUUUUUGUGAGGCUUGCUUUAGAUGAUGGUAUUCAAGUGCCACCGAAUUGAGGUUCAAUCCUUGACACUUAAUACCUUCAUCUAAACCAGCAUAACAAAAAUUUAAUAUUUUCAAAGGAGAAACAUGAGGUGCUUGCGAAAUGCUUGAGUCCUGUUGUUUGACAAGUUUGAAUUACCU
rnacentral:pre_miRNA from 1 species